GGCAGACACACUGAAGUCGCUAGACAUUUGAGGAACACAUCCGGGGAAGAAGACACAGGUGGCUGGUCAUGGAGAGCCCGCUGGGGGAAGAGCACACAGACAGGCACCGGCAGGCCAUUGACCAGCGGGACAAGGUGGGCUCAAUGUCAUCACAAGGGUGCUUAAGAGGGAAAGAGGAAGCCAUGAGGGUCAGAGUCAAAGGAAGACUUGAAGAUACUACACUGCGGACUUUAAAGAUGAAGGAAGGGGCGAAAACCAAGAAUGUGGGAAGCCUCUAGAAGCUAGAGAAGGCAAGGAAACAAAUUUUCCACUAGAGCCUCCAGAAGGAACACAGCCCUGCUGACCCACUGUAAUGUCUGACCUCUAGAUGUGUAAGGGUAGUAAGACUGAAAGUCUCAGAAAGGCACUGUUAAAUUCUUAUUCCUCAACUAUGCAACUCAAAACUGGGGUCCUCAGCAGUGAGCGAGGGGUGAGAGAAGACACUGUAUAAACAUGGCACAUCCUCCUGGAAAGUCAACUUUACUCAAAGGUUCUUACACACAGUGACAGCUAGCAGAGUCUAAAAUGCUGACAUUAUGACUUAGAGAUGUGAUAAAGAGAAACAUCUAUUGCAUUUUCUAUGGAGUCUUGCUCUGUCACCUAAGCUGGAGUGGAAUGGCGUGAUCUCGGCUCACUGCAACCUCCACCUCCCGGGUUGAAGCGAUUCUCUCGCCUCAGCCUCCUGAGUAGCUAGGCUUACAGGCACCUGCCAUCAUGCCCAGCUAAUUUUUGUAUUUUUGUAGAGACAACGUUUCAUCAUGUUGACCUGGCUGAUCUUUAACUCUGAACUUCAGGUGAUCCGCCUGCCUUGGCCUCCCAAAGUGCUGGGAUUACAGGUGUGAGCCACUGUGUCUGGCUAUGGCUAACACUUUUUUAAGGAAAUAACAACAAUCCCCAAAUAUCACAUGCCCAGAGUUGCUCAGCACAUUUAUUUUGUCCGAAGUAUAUGUAAUGUACAUACAAUAAAAUGUACCCAUUCCAAAUGCAUAGUGGGGGUUUGACAAAAGUGCACACCAUCACAAUUAAAAUGAAAAAUAUUUCUAUCUCCCCAAGAUGCUCCUUUACGCUCCUUUGCAAUCAUCACACCCUUACCAGCCAGCCCCCAGGCAAUCACUUUCUGCUACUAUAGA
ensembl:lncRNA SAMMSON survival associated mitochondrial melanoma specific oncogenic non-coding RNA